rnacentral:lncRNA from 1 species
UAGUAAUCUCUAAAAAUUCAUACUAGCAUGCCACUAGUGGAGGCUCUCUGAAGCGCUAAAUUUGUACUUCUUUACGAUUCUAAAAUUCAUGCAGGAUUCGUCCAGCUUAGGCUGCCCUUUUCAGGUUUCUGGAUUCUGGGAAGCUCAAUUACAAGCCCGAGGCUGGCAUGAAGUAGUGAACAAUUAACAAGGCUGUCAGCCUCAGCCUGGGGUCUCUCAAUCCAGCAUUUACCCAGAACCCAGCAGAGACAGGGCUGCGGACAGAUCAACCUGGCUAUGACCCAAUGAGAAUUCUGCUUCAUGGAAAGAGAGAGAAUGUGCUCUCCCAAAGCCUGAUCUUAAGGAGGAACUGACAUCGGUCUCCGGAAAACCAGGAGAAUAAGGCCAACACUACUCAGCUUCUGCUUGUGGCCAUCUACCGACAGGCCUCCGCUGCUCAGAAAACUUGGGGACAGCCUGUGACGCAAAGAGGAGCGCAGGAACGGAGGCUGGCAGAGGAGCCCAGCUCCCAAAGAUUCUCCUGAUCAGUAGUGGUGGCUCAAGGCGCCUGACACAUGGAUGCGCUCUGAUUUCUGAGUUUCCUCAAAAUACUCACUCUGUAACAAAUUGUAAAUUACUGUACUCAAUUUUGUCUAAUAGAUUCUGCAUUGAUCUAUGUGAUGAAAAUAUGUUGAUUAUAAAAGUAAAUGCAUUAUCAAAAUCUAAGGAAUAUUAUCCCACAAUGACGAGUGUAUUGCAACCAUGGCUUUGAAUUUUCGAUGUCGUAAUUGAUAGUUACAUUGACUGAAACUUAAGAAAAACCCACUCAGUAGAGGCCGUUUCUGUCUCCCUGGGACAGUGGAUGGAGGCAAGUAUCCCUGGCAGUGCAGAACUCCUCUGUG